UUGUUUGUUUUGUUUUUACGGCAUUUUGCCUUGUUUAGUAGUCAAAGCUCACGCUUCGCACGGACUGUUUAGGUAUUCCACAGCGUGAUUACGUCAGACCAUACGCCCUCUGCACUGCACAACACCGCUCCUUUAAAUAUGCUUGAAUUUAGUAAACUUUUUCGCCGACAUACCUCACAAUGGCAGACGCCGCAGAAAGCAGUGGACAAGAGCCAUAGCAAAACGAGGGAAUUAACAAGCGACAAAAGUUGUCUAAGGUGUGGGAACACUUCACACUAAAAUCGAAGGAAAACGCAGUCGUAUGCAAACAUUGCAAAGUGGAGCUCGCAUACCACAAGUUCGAUGCUGCAGCACCUGUCGAGAAAGCAUCCGAUUGAGGGACGUCCAGAGGCGAGGCAUUUCUUCAACCGGCAGAACUGGCAGCGGUUGCGAUGGUGCUUGUUGAUGAUGCAGUCCUGCUUACUGCGGCAACUGUAGCCUGCCUUCGUUCUCCACGUCACGAGAUGUGCGUCUCGUCUCCGCGUAUUCCCUCUGGUUCUCUGGCUGCUUCUUGGAUCUCGACCUCCCGCCUGGACACGGACUCUGAUGCCUCGCUAUCGCCCCCGACUACCUGCCUGUCUCACGGACCUUCGAGCUUGCUUUUCCCCUCCGGGACUUCCGCCUCUCGCUCAACACUCCGGUAACAUACAACAGUUAACUCACACACAUAGUCGCACACAUACACACCCUUUUGGCUUAGUCACACUCCAUUCUCUAGUUUAUUAAUAGUAUUAUUGGUUAUUUAUAUAUAUAUAUAUAGUGUAUAUAUACAAAUAAAUAGAGCUUA